CUACGGGGGGCUGCAGUGGGGAAUAUUGGACAAUGGGGGAAACCCUGAUCCAGCAAUGCCGCGUGCGUGAAGAAGGCCUGCGGGUUGUAAAGCACUUUCGGUUGGGAGGACUGCUUCUAGCACUAAUAUUGUUGGAAGUUGACGUUACCUUCAGAAGAAGCACCGGCUAACUCCGUGCCAGCAGCCGCGGUAAUACGGAGGGUGCAAGCGUGAAUCGGAAUUACUGGGCGUAAAGCGCGCGUAGGCGGCUAGAUCAGUCGGGUGUGAAAGCCCCGGGCGUAACCUGGGAACUGCAUCCGAUACUUUCUAGCUUGAGUACAGGAGAGGAGAGUGGAAUUCCACAUGUAGCGGUGAAAUGCGUAGAUAUGUGGAGGAACACCAAUGGCGAAGGCAGCUCUCUGGCCUGAUACUGACGCUGAGGUGCGAAAGCGUGGGGAGCAAACAGGAUUAGAUACCCCAGUAGUC
rnacentral:rRNA from 1 species